rnacentral:lncRNA from 8 species
UGUUUACAUGUAUUGCUGUUGACAAUACUGUAUCUCACAUAGUGUCUGAUGUUUCAAACUGCAUCCCACCCUGUGUAGGUACUGGCUAGUUUGAGAACAUUACGGAAUAACUUUGCUGCACUAACCAACUUGCAGCAAGACAGAGCUUCAAACAAGUGGUCCCCUAUGUGUAACCAACAACCACCCAGCAUCAAGUCCUCUUUCUCAGGUAAGACCAACACACACUUUUGAAGUAUAUUAUCUAUUGAGCCGUGCUAGAGGGCGAAGCUUCAGUUGGCCUCAGUCCAGGCUCGUGUUCAUUAGGGCAUGCAACAGAAAACGCUUUGCAACAGAAAACAGAAAUAAGCAUUUCUUAUUGGACCAGUUCAGUUAGUCUCUCCCGGUUUAAGUCUGUUUUCUUCUGGUUUGUGCCUAAUGAACAC